UACGGGGGGGGCAAGCGUUGUUCGGAAUUACUGGGCGUAAAGGGCGCGUAGGCGGUCUGUCGCGUCGGCUGUGAAAUCCCGAGGCUCAACCUCGGGUCUGCAGUCGAUACGGGCAAACUAGAGUAUUGCAGGGGAGACUGGAAUUCCUGGUGUAGCGGUGAAAUGCGCAGAUAUCAGGAGGAACACCGGUGGCGAAGGCGGGUCUCUGGGCAAUAACUGACGCUGAGGAGCGAAAGCGUGGGGAGCAAACAGG
rnacentral:rRNA from 1 species